AUGUCCACGCCGAAUCUCGAUGCCCUCCUUGGUGUUCCACUGGCUGCGGAGCUAGUGGCAAGAGCAGGAGGUCUUUUGGCGCUGUGCAAGCUGAGUGACGCCGCACUUCGCAUGCUGGGCACGGAGGAGUUCCAGAGCAUCGCGAGCAGCUCACGGGCGAAGCAGCUGCACGCAGGCCUGUUGUUGAAAGCUCCAAUGUUCACCGACGCUUUUGGAGACGAGGAGGCGGUGGACACGACGGACCUGAAGGCUGCGCAGAAGGGUGCCGCCCAACUGGGACGCAAGUGCGCGCUAGUCGCGAAGGCGGACCUUGCCGGCGCCUUUUCCGAUGGCUCCCUCGGUGAGGCGGAGAAGGAAAAGCUCAACGCCGCCUUCACCCGUCUCCUGGCGGAGGGCAAAGUGACCGCGGAGGACACGCAGGCGCUCGCCGUACCGUUUGUGUACGUCCGCGGCGAUGCAGCGAAGCACAGGCGUGGCGGUGUCAAGGAGCGAAAGAAGCGAGAGUCGCAGCAGGAAUCGGUCAGCGUCGUUGCUAGAGCGACGCAGCGGGUGCGCAUGGGUGUCAGUGAGGAGGAGCAGGUGCAACAGCUGCUGCAGCGAGAAGACAUACGUAGCGAAUUCGCCAAGGAGCGCGCUCAGCAGCUGCUGAAGGAGUCGCGGAAGCGUGCUCGAGAGGCUGUCCAUGAUGAGUACGAUGACCUACAGAACAUUUCCCUCUAG
rnacentral:misc_RNA from 1 species